GGCUUGGUGGUGUAAUGGUAACACACUCUUCCACUAUAGGUGUCAAGCCUUGGUCUUGAGGGAGUUCCUUGUUCGAACCAAGGUCCAGCCA